rnacentral:rRNA from 1 species
AUUGAACGCUGGCGGCAUGCUUUACACAUGCAAGUCGAACGGUAACAGGCCUUCGGGUGCUGACGAGUGGCGAACGGGGGAGUAAUGCAUCGGAACGUGCCCAGUGGUGGGGGGUAACGCAGCGAAAGCUGUGCUAAUACCGCAUGUGAUCUGAGGUUGAAAGCGGGGGACCAAGCAGCAAUGUUUGGCCUCGCGCCUCUGGAGCGGCCGAUGUCAGAUUAGGUAGUUGGUGGGGUAAAGGCCUACCAAGCCGACGAUCUGUAGCUGGUCUGAGAGGACGAACAGCCACACUGGGACUGAGACACGGCCCAGACUCCUACGGGAGGCAGCAGUGGGGAAUUUUGGACAAUGGGCGCAAGCCUGAUCCAGCAAUGCCGCGUGCGGGAAGAAGGCCUUCGGGUUGUAAACCGCUUUUGUACGGAACGAAAAGGCUCUGGCUAAUACCUGGGGCUGAUGACGGUACCGGAAGAAUAAGCACCGGCUAACUACGUG